GACGAACGCUGGCGGCGUGCUUAACACAUGCAAGUCGAACGGAAAGGCCCUGCUUUUGUGGUGUGCUCGAGUGGCGAACGGGUGAGUAACACGUGAGUAACCUGCCCUUGACUUUGGGAUAACUUCAGGAAACUGUGGCUACUACCGGAUAGGAGCUCCUGCUGCAUGGUGGGGGUUGGAAAUUUUCGGCGGUUGGGGAUGGACUCGCGGCUUUUCAGCUUGUUGGUGGGGUAGUGGCUUACCAAGGCUUUGACGGGUAGCCGGCCUGAGAGGGUGACCGGCGACAUAGGGACAGAGAGACGGCCCAGACUACUAAGGUAGGCAGCAGGGGGGAAUAUUGCACAAUGGGAGGAAGAAUGAUGCAGCAACGCCGCGUGCGGGAUGACGGCCUUCGGGUUGUAAAACGCUUUCGCAUGUGACGAAGCGUGAGUGACGGUAAUGGGUAAAGAAGCACCGGCUAACUACGUG
rnacentral:rRNA from 1 species